rnacentral:rRNA from 1 species
GAUGAGCAUGCGUCCCAUUAGCUAGUUGGUAAGGUAACGGCUUACCAAGGCUACGAUGGGUAGGGGUCCUGAGAGGGAGAUCCCCCACACUGGUACUGAGACACGGACCAGACUCCUACGGGAGGCAGCAGUGAGGAAUAUUGGACAAUGGGCGCAAGCCUGAUCCAGCCAUGCCGCGUGCAGGAUGACGGUCCUAUGGAUUGUAAACUGCUUUUAUACGAGAAGAAACAUUCCUACGUGACGGAACUUGACGGUAUCGUAAGAAUAAGGAUCGGCUAACUCCGUGCCAGCAGCCGCGGUAAUACGGAGGAUCCAAGCGUUAUCCGGAAUCAUUGGGUUUAAAGGGUCCGUAGGCGGUUUAAUAAGUCAGUGGUGAAAGCCCAUCGCUCAACGGUGGAACGGCCAUUGAUACUNNNNGNNNUGANNNNNNAGGAAGUAACUAGAAUAUGUAGUGUAGCGGUGAAAUGCUUAGAGAUUACAUGGAAUACCAAUUGCGAAGGCAGGUUACUACUAAUUGAUUGACGCUGAUGGA